rnacentral:lncRNA from 1 species
UUUCUGAUUGCAUUCUUUUAUUAGAAAUAUAUAUUGACAACAUGAGUAAAAAAAGGCAUAACUGUUUUCGAAGUUCAAUAAAACAUCAUUAACCUAUUUUAAAAUUAAAUGUUAGUUUUGAGGUUUAGCCUUUUCCGAAAAUUUCUUCUCGGUGAAAGCCGGUUAUAUAAAUAUUUCGUAAAAACGUGCACAGACAUCUUUGGUAUUGAAUUGAAAUCCAUAUACGUGUAUAUUUGAAAGUUAAUUGAAAUGAAGAAAAUCCGUUUUUAAAGUCUAUUCUAAGUAGUGCAAUUCUGAAAACGUUUUGGAGCUCUAAUGUUCUUCAAUAAUUGCCUUUUCUCGAUUAUUAAGACUUCCCUCAAAAGCUUGCCUUGAGAUAUUUUCCGGAAUAUUUUCUCCUGCUGGCAUAAGAACGAUUGCUAUCGUUGUACUUUUGGGUUUACCAACCUCUGCCGUCGCUCCCGCUUGGUCAUCUUCAGUUUCCUGAGACUCCUCCAACUGUUCACUGUAUCUUGGCUUAUUAAGUUGUAUUUGCAGAUUGGCAUACCUUUUUCCAUCAGGUCUAUUAAAUAGUCCUUGAAGAUCCAGUCGUACAAGUUCUCCUUUCACUAAUGUUUUCGGUCUACUGUUUUUAUCUAUAAAAGUUGGUGCUUUCUCUUCAAUCAUUUCCCGAGCUUCGUCCGAUUCUUUUUUCUUGGCAUUAGUUAUGUCCGAUGAUGCUUCAUACCUUAUUUCGUAAACCAUAACUGUGCUUGAAUUUGAACGCAGAUAAAGGAAGUAUUAUGAAACCUCGUCCUUUGUAAUAAUACAUUUACCAAAAUGCACAUAUUUAUAUACUUUAUAUGCAUGGUCAUGUAGAUGAUUUAAUGGAAAAGGAUCCUCCAAAC